UGUGAGUGGGACAGUGUGAGUGGGGCAGUGUGAGUGGGACAGUGUGAGUGGGACAGUGUGAGUGGGGCAGUGUGAGUAUGGCAGUGUGAGUGGGGCAGUGUGAGUGGGGCAGUGUGAGACAGUGUCUGUGGGGCAGUGUGAGUAGGGCAGUGUGAGUGGGGCAGUGUGAGUGGGACAGUGUGAGUGGGGCAGUGUGAGUGGGGCAGUGUGAGUGGGGCAGUGUGAGUAGGGCAGUGUGACUGGGGCAGUGUGAGUAGGGCAGUGUGAGUGGGGCAGUGUGAGUAGGGCAGUGUGAGUAGGGCAGUGUGAGUGGGGCAGUGUGAGUGGGGCAGUGUGAGUGGGGCAGUGUGAGUGGGGCAGUGUGAGUAUGGCAGUGUGAGUGGGGCAGUGUGAGUGGGGCAGUGUGAGUGGGGCAGUGUGAGUGGGGCAGUGUGAGUGGGACAGUGUGUGAGUGGGGCAGUGUGAGUGGGGCAGUGUGAGUGGGGCAGUGUG
rnacentral:lncRNA from 1 species